UACGAAGGGGGCUAGCGUUGCUCGGAAUCACUGGGCGUAAAGCGCACGUAGGCGGGUCCUUAAGUCGGGGGUGAAAUCCCGGAGCUCAACUCCGGAACUGCCUUCGAUACUGGGGACCUCGAGUCCGGGAGAGGUGAGUGGAACUGCGAGUGUAGAGGUGAAAUUCGUAGAUAUUCGCAAGAACACCAGUGGCGAAGGCGGCCAUCUGGACGGAUACUGACGCUGAGACGCGAAAGCGUGGGGAGCAAACAGG
rnacentral:rRNA from 1 species